UACGGAGGGUGCGAGCGUUGUCCGGAAUCACUGGGCGUAAAGGGCGCGUAGGCGGCGCGGGGAGUCAACGGUGAAAGCUCGGCGCUCAACGCCGAGUCGGCCGUCGAUACUCCCGUGCUCGAGCACUGUAGAGGCAGGUGGAAUUCCGGGUGUAGCGGUGAAAUGCGCAGAUAUCGGGAAGAACACCCGUGGCGAAGGCGGCUCUCUGGGACGGUACUGACGCUGAGACGCGAAAGCGUGGGGAGCGAACAGG
rnacentral:rRNA from 1 species